CUGCCCACCACCACCACCACAAUCAGUGACCAGACGUCCAUUUCAUCACCAGACACGAGACCUGGGAAAACGGUGACCGCCCCGCUUGCCCCACCUAGUCUACCAGCUCCACCUGCUCAGUGAAAGGUUUGAGGUGGACGUGUCGGAGGAUAUGGGUGGUGAAGUCACGGCGCAGGUUACCCACACCUUUCACCACGCUAACUGGCCGCAGCUUUUCACUGAGGUCGGGCAGGCCUGUAUCUCCGUGUUCUGCUCUAGAAAUGUGAGUAAAGUAAGGUGUGGUGUUUGUUGUUGUUGUUCUUUUUCUGUUAAGAUUAUUUUGGUCUCUCUCUCUCUCUCUCUCUC